rnacentral:rRNA from 1 species
AUUGAACGCUGGCGGCAGGCCUAACACAUGCAAGUCGAGCGAGUGGCGGACGGGUGAGUAAUGUCUGGGAAACUGCCCGAUAGAGGGGGAUAACUACUGGAAACGGUAGCUAAUACCGCAUACCAUCGGAUGUACCCAUAUGGGAUUAGCUAGUAGGUGGGGUAAAGGCUCACCUAGGCGACGAUCCCUAGCUGGUCUGAGAGGAUGACCAGCCACACUGGAACUGAGACACGGCCCAGACUCCUACGGGAGGCAGCAGUGGGGAAUAUUGCACAAUGGGCGCAAGCCUGAUGCAGCCAUGCCGCGUGUACGAAGAAGGCCUUAGGGUUGUAAAGUACUUUCAGCGGGGAGGCGUUACUCGCAGAAGAAGCACCGGCUAACUCCGUGCCAGCAGCCGCGGUAAUUC